rnacentral:rRNA from 1 species
UACGAGGGGGGCAAGCGUUGUUCGGAAUUACUGGGCGUAAAGCGUGCGCAGGCGGCUUCUCAAGUCAGGGGUGAAAGCCCAGAGCUCAACUCUGGAAUUGCCUUUGAGACUGAGUGGCUUGAGUACGAGAGAGGUGAGUGGAAUUCCCAGUGUAGAGGUGAAAUUCGUAGAUAUUAGGAAGAACACCGGUGGCGAAGGCGGCUCACUGGCUCGUAACUGACGCUCAUGCACGACAGCGUGGGGAUCAAACAGG